UGUGAGCCCCGCCCACUUUGAGUCUGAUUUAAGGAUGAGACUCAGCCUCAACCAGCAGAACUUCAGCUUCAGCUGCUCUGUCUGGUCCUGCUCCAGACCGUCUUCAGAGGAAACAACUUCUCCCAGAAGUCUAAGGGAAGAAACUUUUGCUCCUUUUGCAACAAGCUCAGAGGUUUAGCUUCAAGUCAACGACAACAUGUCAUACGAAGCACCACUCAUCAUUGUUGGUGGACAAGGAGGAUACCCGUUCAGUUUUAAUGGUGCAGAAACUGGAUCUCUGCUUAAAAAGCUGGAUGUGUGGGUCGGACCAACCCAAGUGAGAUGUAUAACGGUCUAUAUGUUUGACGGUGUUCAAAAGACAUAUGGGACAGCCAGGGUAGCCGGUGAUAAAAUGGUGUCCUUCACUUUUGAGGAUGACGAAUUUUUUUCCUCUCUCAGUCUUUGGCCCAACAAUACUAAAACUCGUCUGGGUGACAUUAAAUUCACAACAUCGAAGAACCGAGCAUUUGACACUGGUAGGCAGUCUGACAGCCAGUCUGACGAGGAGGCUAUGGUACCACCAACACCAGUAGAUGUUGGCUCUGGAUUGUGUUUUGGAGUUCAGGGCAGGUCAGGAACCGAAAUUGAUGCAUUUGGGUUCCUGUUCAUCAAAGUUACUAAGUGAACCGGUUCUAGAGGGCUAGAUGGUGAAACAACAACCUGUGUGGGUUCAGCUUCUUCUCUUUGAUUUCUUCAUCUGGUUUGUGUUUUUUUCUUUGGACUUUUACUGCAGUUUUCUGAAUGUUUCCAUCAGAUUUUUGGAUUUGCUGUCAUUUUUCCUGCUGUACUGAGAAACUCCUGAUGGUUUUCCUGUUAUUGUCACUGGAAUCCAAUGUUUCUGUUGUCCUCAUCAUCUCUUCUGGAAAUGGCAUUCUAUCAGUAAAUCUUGUUGGUGUGGACGCUGGAAAAAGCCCUUCAGUUCAUGUCAAAUCACUGUUUGUGCUCAUCUAGUCUGUAUGAUUUGGAAAAUAAAAACCUCAACCAAA